UUGUUGGUCCACUUUUAGCCAAUACGAACGCCUUUUUCAUAUUCAGCUUUUUCGUAUGGAGGGAAAAAGGGAAAGAGAAAUGGAUUACAAACGGAGCUCAAAAAAACCCAGCGAUUUACUGCUUUGGAAAAUCAGAGAAUUUACUCGAGCACUGGUUGAAGAUCUCAGCAACAGACGGUCACCGGAAAUUCUGAUUGAUCGGUUCAGGAACUACUGCGCGAAUGCCAAAGCAAACUGCUCCUGCAGCUCUGAUUUGCCAAAAGGUAAAGAGAUUCUUACACUUCAAAAAGAAAGCAAUGUGCAUAGGAUAGAUGUCUUGCUCAGGAUUCUAUUAAUUGUUCAGCAACUUCUGCAAGAAAACAAACAUGGGUCUAAGAGGGAUAUAUAUUACAUGCAUCCGACUGUAUUUUCAGAGCAGAAAAUUGUAGACCAGGGAAUCAAUGACAUAUGCAUCCUUCUAGGGUGUUCGCGGCACAAUUUAAAUGUGGUGUCUGCCGGAAAAGGGUUGGUAAUGGGCUGGUUAAGAUUCUCAGAGACAGGGAGGAACUUUGAUUGCAUAAGUAGGCCUUGCACUGCGCACCAUAUUCCUGUUUAUGUUGAAGAAGUCGAAGAUAUAGUUUCUGUUGCCCAAUACAUUCUUGUUGUUGAGAAAGAAUCUGUGUUCCAACGAUUGGCUAAUGACCAGUUCUGCAACACAAAUCAUUGCAUUGUUAUCACAGGGCGAGGAUAUCCUGAUGUUUCCACUAGAAGGUUUCUACGGCUCCUCAUUGAUAUUUUAUGUCUGCCUGCUUAUUGCUUGGUAGAUUGUGAUCCUUAUGGUUUUGACAUCUUGUGCAUAUACCGAUUUGGUUCUAUGCAAAUGGCUUAUGAUGCAAAAUAUCUAAGGGUUCCAGAGAUACAAUGGCUUGGAGCUUUUCCUUUGGAUUCUGAAAAGUACUGCCUUCCAAAGCAGUGUCUCCUUCCUUUGACAUCAGAAGACAAGAGGAAAACUGAAGCCAUGUUACUUAGGUGCUACCUACAAAAAGAAGUUCCCCGGUGGAGUGUUAUUGUUGUUUUACCAUGAAAGAUUGGAGCUAGAGGUGAUGCUUCAAAGAGGGGUGAAAUUUGAGGUGGAGGCAUUGUCUGUGCAUGCACUAUCCUUUUUGUCAACGGAAUACAUACCUUCUAAGAUUCGAGACUUGUGUUAUGAAAGUUAAUAUCCAAUGUGAAGCAUGCAAGAUAAAGCUUUACGACUUUCUGCACAAUAUAUAUGGUGAUUUUCCAUCUUCUUGCACUUUAGUUUCAAACUGAUUUUAACUGUUUUAUACUUUAAGUUUUCAUUAUUUUUGUUUAAUUGGGUUAGUUGUUUAGGAGUUUAUACAAUAGACAUAGAUGCAGAGGAAGGGACAGUGAAAGUUUCAGGGGAUGUAAAUCCAAGUACAAUUCUAAGGGUGCUUGAAGAUUCAGGUUGCUACGCAGAGCUCAAAUCUGUUAGGUUUCAUGGUAAAAUCAGAGAAAGAGACUACUAUUAUGAACACAAUAAUGGCUGUCUUCCUCCUCCAUAUUCAAUGGUUUACACUUAUUCAGCGCCUCGUGGGCCUGAUUACGAGUGGUUUAACGGUACUAAUUACCCCUUUAUUAUACCACCAUUGCCCUGGCAGCCUCAAUCAACACCAUCGUUAGCAAUGCCACUACCACUACCAGCACCACCACAAACACUAGCACCGCCACCACAACUACUGCCUCCAAAUCCACCUCCGGUAUCAAUGGCGAUGGCGCCAGGUGUCGCUGAUGUUCAAAAGGGAUCGACAGCAGGAUGCAGUGUAAUGUGAGAGGUCACAUCCCUUGAAUUGUGUUGUUUUAAUUUCUUUGGCUCUUAUGUUGAAUUUUUGGUAUACUUGUCAAUAUGAAGUUAUGUUUUCGAAUAUGCCAAUAUGAUCUUCUAUUGUCGAGUCCAAAUUAAUUAAUUUGUUGUACAUCGAUAUAAAUUGAUAUUGCUUGUUACUUGUCAU